CGACGCUAGAGAAUGACAGACUGUGUAAAUAAUGUCGAUAUUUCUCUUAUUCGUUUUCUUGUAAAACUAUUUUUUCUUUUGCGCCAAUAAAAGUAAACUAGUCGUAAAUUACGUUAACGUUGUACUGUACGCCUUUGUCAAAAGACUUUUACUGGUAGACGGGGGAACCACGUGGGCCGCCAUUGCAAUUCUAACGUGGAAGGUUUGAUGGCAAAUGUAUCGGAAACAUCUCUCUCUCCCAGGCCUCUGCACUUGACAUGAUCCGGUCCUGUGGGCACGACACCAGCCCAAGAAAAGAGCUGAACACAAUUCAAUAACGCCACCAGACAAUUUUUUCGGUUCCUGCCUCCCCCUCGCAUGGUGGAUUUAUUACAGCCAUUAUCGUUCAUGCAAUCACCGAAGAAUGGGGAGCCUGGAAUUCCUCCCCCCAAAAAAUGUGUUGGAGAAUGUACACCAGGCCUGGUUACUCGUACACACAGCCAACAAGAUGUUAAGAUUUAUCACACAUUAAUCCCGACCGCAGCCGCAGUCAGCCAGCCAGCAGCAGCCAGCAUCAGGCAAAUAAUCAAUAACGUUUAUAACAACUCGCUGAUUGGCUGAUUUUCUUUUUCUAUCUUGAUCCUUCUCAAUUGAAAAGGGUGGGGUGGGGGAACUAUAGGAGGGAAAUGUUAGACGCCGACUGUUUGAAAUCAAAUAGCGCAGAGCAGAGAGAGAGAGAGCAGCUCGAAGGAAGAAGAAGAAGAAGAAGAAUCGGAAGAGAAAGAGAGAUGAGAGCUAAAGGGCGGAAGUAGCAGAUGUUUGCCAAGAAAAAACGGGGUGGGACUUUCUCUCGUAGCAAACCGGGGACAAAAAGAAUAAAAAAAUCAAAUCCUCCCGACAGAGAAGGAAACUGCCAACAUGUUCUAUAUUUACUAACAAUCCAGACACAAAAACGGUUGGGAGGAGGGAAAAGAAAAGACAAUUUUUUGUGAAAUAAAUCAAUAAUCAAACCCCCCCGGUGGCGUAUCCGUCGCCCAAAAAGCUCCAAAGAUCUAGGCGAGAUUACUCACAGCUAAUGAAUUGACGUCAGCUCUUCCAAGAUUCCCGUCGUCCAUUUCCCGUCGAUGUAUUAUAUAGACGGACAAAACACAAAAGCAGACGUGUGGCAAUGUAGAGAUAGAUUUAUAGAAAAUGGGCCGUUUUCCUCUUCCAAGUCGCUGGGCAUUUUUCUCUCUCUCUAUUUUGCCAUGGCUUCUUAUUCUUCGUCUGUUAUAUUAUCUGAAUAAAUAUACUAUAGCCUCUAGUAUAUAUUUUUAUAGUAGGGCUCUAGCUCUCUCUUUCUCUCUGCCCAGCUGUUGUUUGGUUUCCAUCAACAUAUUCCCAGUCGGCUGGCAGUCGGUCGGCGGAGUUGCUGGAGAGAUCUGAGGACACCAAUUGUCAGGCCCAGGUUACUAUUGUUCGAUUGUUAUUUAACAGUGCAGAGAGAGAGAGACUGGCCAUUGUAGUACAAAAGAUAUACAUAUAUCCCCAUGGAUAUAUAUAUAUAUGCACAGGCCGGAAAUCGAUAUUUUAUUUAUAUAUAUAUUUAGACAUGUAUGUAGAAAGCCCGGUUCCUUUUUUUAUAUCUGCCAGAGAGAUUUAUAGAUUCGAUAAAAUAUGGACAAAAAUAAAUUAAAUCGAACCUGACAGAAAUAUUGAGAGAUGCCGGGCAAAAUAAAAAAUAAAAAUUGACGGCCCUGUUAUAUAUUUGGAAAAAAAAAAAACAUUUCUGUCCAUCUUUUCUGUCCAUGUUCAAAGUCAUUUUAUUUAUUUUUUUCCUUUUUAUUUUUUAAUAAAAAUCUGGCAAAAGAUAAAGUUGAUCAA
rnacentral:lncRNA from 1 species